rnacentral:misc_RNA from 1 species
GGUGAUGCCACCGGUACAAUGGGAGGUGCUUGCGGUUACGGCAAUCUGUACAGCCAGGGCUACGGCACCAACACCGCAGCGCUGAGCACUGCCCUGUUCAACAACGGACUGAGCUGUGGUGCCUGCUACCAGAUGCGUUGCAACGAUGAUCCGAAAUGGUGCCGCUCAGGUACUAUCACCGUGACCGCCACCAACUUCUGCCCUCCAAACUUCGCCCAGGCAAACGAUGAUGGCGGGUGGUGCAACCCGCCCCUCCAGCAUUUCGACCUGGCAGAACCCGCCUUCCUACAGAUAGCACAGUACCGAGCCGGUAUCGUGCCUGUUGCUUUUAGAAGGGUUCCAUGCAUGAAGAAGGGGGGCAUAAGAUUCACCAUAAACGGCCACUCCUACUUCAACCUGGUCCUGAUCACCAAUGUUGGCGGUGCUGGCGAUGUGCACGCUGUUGCCGUCAAGGGGUCACGGACCGGGUGGCAGGCGAUGUCACGGAAUUGGGGACAGAACUGGCAGAGCAAUGGCUACCUCAAUGGUCAGAGCCUCUCGUUCCAAGUGACCCUAAGCGACGGUAGCAGCGUCACCAGCUACAACGUCGCACCAGGCAACUGGCAGUUCGGGCAGACAUUCGAGGGUCGCCAGAUUUAAGCUACGUGAUUGGGUGAUCGUCAUUGGGAGCUAUGCUGUGGUAGCUUAAUUAGCGCCCGCUAGUAACUUCUCAAUAUAGUAUAGAUAGAGAAGAUAUAUAUAUAUAUAAGAUAACCCUACUCAAGGCUUGUGUGCUAUUUUGUGUUUUUUAUUUGCUUCCGAAAUGCCCGUGCGGACAAUCCACGGAGCAAGCGGUCACAUGUAUGGUGUGG